ACUUGUCCCAGAGUCUUCAGG
rnacentral:misc_RNA from 1 species